rnacentral:rRNA from 1 species
UACGUAGGGGGCUAGCGUUGUCCGGAUUUAUUGGGCGUAAAGAGCUCGUAGGCGGUCUGUCGCGUCUGCUGUGAAAACUCAGGGCUUAACCCUGAGCUUGCAGUGGGUACGGGCAGACUAGAGUGCGGUAGGGGAGACUGGAAUUCCUGGUGUAGCGGUGAAAUGCGCAGAUAUCAGGAGGAACACCGGUGGCGAAGGCGGGUCUC